AUGUAAAUGCCAUUGACAGCAAUGUCCCCUGGAGAACCAGUACAGCAGAAUUGGAAGGUUCAUUUCUAUGAUGGGGAUGGAGAAGACCCUUUCUUUGGAGAAAAGGACAUUAAGAUCUGAAGCACCAAACCUUCUCUUACUUUCAAAUGCCUUGAAUUGGUGCAGUUAUGUGACACAACCAGACACUGGCUUAGCUGGCUCCUCACACCCCUUCACAAGUGAAAAGGAUGCGUCGGCAAGAGCAAUGUAGUACAGAACUACAGCCUGAAAAAUACCAACAUUUGCCUCGCACCAUAAGGAAAAAAGAAAGCAGCCUCAACAGCAACGUGGACUUCCUAAACUGAUUCAACCAGCAUGUAAGCACACCGAGGUGAUGGUCAUCUGUACACAAGUGUGGUCCCAUUUUAAAGUGAGGCCAAAAGGACUCUGUUUUUGGCCUUUUCUUGGUUAUUGCUAAUCCACUGCAAAUGGAAUAGUUCAUCUUUUCCUAUCUCCUCAUCUUCUGAACUCUCUAAGCCAACCUGAUACUGGUGGCAAACUAACUUAAUAAGAUGGUGUAUAUGUGUUUCUGGAUCAAGAUAAAGUAAAAUGUUAAAGGCAUUUAUUGUGUUGAAAUUUUCUAUGCCAAUUUACUGCUAAGAA